CAGCCGCCGCGGUAAAACGGAGGGGGCUAGCGUUGUUCGGAAUUACUGGGCGUAAAGCGCACGUAGGCGGCUUGGUAAGUUAGAGGUGAAAGCCCGGAGCUCAACUCCGGAAUUGCCUUUAAGACUGCCGAGCUAGUAGGUGAGAGAGGUAAGUGGAAUUCCGAGUGUAGAGGUGAAAUUCGUAGAUAUUCGGAAGAACACCAGUGGCAAAGGCGGCUUACUGGCUCAUUCUAGACGCUGAGGUGCGAAAGCGUGGGGAGCAAACAGGAUUAGAUACCCCCGUAGUCCCUGUCUCUUAUAC
rnacentral:rRNA from 1 species